CCGAACAGCCAGCUCCCCCUGGGGCCGCCAAAGGUGCUCCCCCAUGCGGCCACCAGAAGAGCCAGCUGCCGGCCCGGCACUCCUGUUAAAUGUACCCUGCAGUGUUCUUUUAAUAAUUCGUGCCAUUUGUCAACUUGGAAUUCACUAAAGCAAGGAAAACCAUUACUAUAUGGUGCCUCUGAAUUUUUUCCUGAAAAGUACCCUGAUCUUCUAUCAUGGUUUGAAGUUCUAGUUCAGCAAUAAAUGGAAAUCUACAUUUUGAAAAUAUUCUACCAAACUAUUGUUGAUGUGCCAGGAACGUUCCACUAACUUUAAUCCUACCAGAUUCACUUAGACGUAAAUAAACUUUCAUUAUCUUAUUGUACAGCGCAAAUAAUAGUCAUGUAAUACCACGUGGAUAUGUGUUCUGAGAGAUAAGAAUAUGAGUGUGACUGUCAUAAACAAUCUCGUCUCACUUGAACAUGCAGAUUACAAACCCGUGCAUAAUAUGGAAAUGCACUAAAUGUGGGUGUGUUCCAGGGAGUAAAAGGCUAGGCAGUAUUACUUUGUAUAUUAUCUUCAUUAUAUGAUGUUUGGCUUCUGUGACAAAGCGCAUU